rnacentral:rRNA from 1 species
CGACGUAAAGAACUUGCCUCACAGCUGGGGACAACAUUUGGAAACGAAUGCUAAUACCUAAUAUUAUGAUAAUAGAGCAUCCUAUAAUUAUGAAAGCUAUAAGCGCUGUGAGAGAGCUUUGCGUCCCAUUAGCUAGUUGGAGAGGUAACGGCUCACCAAGGCGAUGAUGGGUAGCCGGCCUGAGAGGGUGAUCGGCCACAAGGGGACUGAGACACGGCCCUU